UACGUAGGGGGCAAGCGUUGUCCGGAUGCAUGGGGCGGAAAGAGCGUGUAGGCGGCCAGGUAGGUCGGUUGUGAAAACUGGAGGCUCAACCUUCAGACGUCGACCGAAACCAUCUGGCUAGAGUCCGGGAGAGGAGAGUGGAAUUCCUGGUGUAGCGGUGAAAUGCGCAGAUAUCAGGAAGAACACCCGUGGCGAAAGCGGCUCUCUGGAACGGUACUGACGCUGAGACGCGAAAGCGUGGGGAGCGAACAGG
rnacentral:rRNA from 1 species